rnacentral:rRNA from 1 species
CCUACGGUGGGCAGCAGUGGGGAAUAUUGGACAAUGGGCGAAAGCCUGAUCCAGCCAUGCCGCGUGUGUGAAGAAGGCCUUCGGGUUGUAAAGCACUUUCAGUGGGGAAGAAAGCCUUGGGGCUAAUACCCUCGAGGAAGGACAUCACCCACAGAAGAAGCACCGGCUAACUCCGUGCCAGCAGCCGCGGUAAUACGGAGGGUGCGAGCGUUAAUCGGAAUUACUGGGCGUAAAGCGCGCGUAGGCGGUCUGAUAAGCCGGUUGUGAAAGCCCCGGGCUCAACCUGGGAACGGCAUCCGGAACUGUCAGGCUAGAGUGCAGGAGAGGAAGGUAGAAUUCCCGGUGUAGCGGUGAAAUGCGUAGAGAUCGGGAGGAAUACCAGUGGCGAAGGCGGCCUUCUGGACUGACACUGACGCUGAGGUGCGAAAGCGUGGGUAGCAAACAGGAUUAGAUACCCUUGUAGUC